rnacentral:rRNA from 1 species
CCUACGGGGGGCAGCAGUGGGGGAUAUUGGGCAAUGGGCGCAAGCCUGACCCAGCAACGCCGCGUGAAGGAAGAAGGAUUUCGGGUUGUAAACUUCUAUUGUCAGGGAAGAAUAGAAGACGGUAACUGAAGUAUAAGGCACGGCUAACUACGUGCCAGCAGCCGCGGUAAUACGUAGGGGGCAAGGGUUGACCGGGUUUACUGGGGGGAAAGGGCGGGUAGCCGGGUUGACAAGUCAGAUGUGAAAUCCUGCGGCUUAACCGCAGAAAUGCAUUUGAAACUGUUGAGCUUGAGUACUGGAGAGGCAAACGGAAUUCCUAGUGUAGCGGUGAAAUGCGUAGAUAUUAGGAGGAACACCAGUGGCGAAGGCGGUCUGCUGGACUGCAACUGACGGUGAGGCGCGAAAGCGUGGGGAGCAAACAGGAUUAGAUACCCUUGUAGUC